rnacentral:rRNA from 1 species
AUGGAUGGCUUUUGCAAACCCGACAUGCGGCGAUGUGGUUCAUGCCAACAUCAAAUAUGCACAACUUCAUUCGUGCUGAUAUCUAGACUGAGCCAUAAUUACCGAUGCAAGUCGAAGAAGGAUUGGCCGGUGCUGCCGGCUCGUGUCAAGUUCGAUCCCACGGAUCAGGAGCUGAUCGAGCACCUUGAGGCCAAAGUGAGUGCUGACAGCGCGCGAUUUCAGUUUCUCAUCGAUUUGUUCAUACCAACCAUCGACAGCGAGCACGACAUAUGCUACACCCAACCUGAGAAACUUCCAGGGAUCACACUGAGUGGCCUAAGGAAGCAUUUCUUCGAGCGCAAUUCCAGGGUGUUCAAAAGGGGCACGUGGACGCAUCGCAAGAUACAGUCGGAGUGCGGCAUGCACGCGAUGUGGCACAAGACCGGCAAUACCUUGCUGGUGAUGGUCAACGGCCGGCAGACGGGCAACAAAAAAGGUUCUGGUGCUGCACACCAACAAGAACUUCGACCAGCAGAGGACCAACUGGGUGAUGCACCAGUACCACCUCGGGGACCUGGAGCAAGAGAAGGAGUGGGAGCUGGUCCUCUGCAAGAUUUUCUACCACAUGAACACUAG